UUGACAUAUUAAAAAGUACAGAAAUAACAGAAAUGUAUAAAAACGUGAAAUAGAAAUUAUCAAUUUAGAAUACAAGGGAUAAAUACAUAAUCCCAAUGUUUUUUUUCUUUUAUUUUUGCAUGAAGGCUAGCUCUUACCAAUUGUGCAAGUGUUCAAGACUGUUACACUUCUUGUUUUUUAGUUACUAAGUAACUAGGAAGUGAACGAGCAAGUAUGAUUUCACAUCAAAAAUGUUUCGCCACUUUUAUAUUCGUUGCUAAGCUGCGACUACUUUUUUUGUUUUUAAAACUUUUUUUCUUUGCUCAUAAAUCUUUUUUGUUCUUCAUUGGAUGACUUGGUUGUACUGUUGAUAAACUGGAAGAAACAACUGAUAUAAAAUUUUCCUCAAAAUAUUCAAGAUGAAAUCCCUGAUCAUUUUCGGCAUCGUUUUAAUGGCAUUGGUGAUCACUACGACUGAUGCCAUCCCCGCCUCCUAUAGCAGUCGCAUCUACGAUCGCUCCUAUCAAAUCUGCAUGGAAAAGGCGAGGAAAGAAAUCAAGAGUUGCGAAAACGCCAUCAAAACAGAUUUCAAAAGAGAGCUAGACUUGUGUAAUGCAAAAAGAGAAAAACUUGAACUUGGAUGUUAAAUUUUGUUUAUUUUCGUAACUUUAUAUAACGGGUGAAUUUAAUAAAGAAAAGAAAAUUAUAUUGUAGAAUUAUAGAGGCGGUUUAAAUAUGUCAAAAAAUAAAAA